rnacentral:rRNA from 1 species
AUUGAACGCUGGCGGCAGGCUUAACACAUGCAAGUCGAGCGGGGUGAUGGUGCUUGCACUAUCACUUAGCGGCGGACGGGUGAGUAAUGCUUAGGAAUCUGCCUAUCAGUGGGGGACAACAUCUCGAAAGGGAUGCUAAUACCGCAUACGUCCUACGGGAGAAAGCAGGGGAUCACUUGUGACCUUGCGCUAAUAGAUGAGCCUAAGUCGGAUUAGCUAGUUGGUGGCGUAAAGGCCUACCAAGGCGACGAUCUGUAGCGGGUCUGAGAGGAUGAUCCGCCACACUGGGACUGAGACACGGCCCAGACUCCUACGGGAGGCAGCAGUGGGGAAUAUUGGACAAUGGGGGGAACCCUGAUCCAGCCAUGCCGGGUGUGUGAAGAAGGCCUUAUGGUUGUAAAGCACUUUAAGCGAGGAGGAGGCUCUUUUGGUUAAUACCCAAGAUGAGUGGACGUUACUCGCAGAAUAAGCACCGGCUAACUCUGUGCCAGCAGCCGCCGUAA